rnacentral:ncRNA from 2 species
AGUGAGGAUAGAGGUGCAAAAACCAAGAGUACACAAUUGGAGGAGAAUGAGAUCCGUUGAGAAUUGUGGAAAGGGGAAUUUGCCGAAGCUGGAAGAAUCUCAUGUUCUGAAGGCUGGUUCUGUAUUAAAUAAAUACAGAACUGUCAUAUAGCGGAUGUUGCUAUAUGGAGGGCUAUCUCACGC